UACGAAGGGUGCAAGCGUUACUCGGAAUUACUGGGCGUAAAGCGCACGUAGGCGGCUUUUGUAAGUUAGAGGUGAAAGCCCCGGGGGCUCAACCCCCGGAAUAGCCUUUAAGACUGCAUCGCUUGAACACGGGGAGAGGUGAGUGGAAUUCCGAGUGUAGAGGUGAAAUUUCGUAGAUAUUCGGAAGAACACCAGUGGCGAAGGCGGCUCACUGGACCGUUUGUUGACGCUGAGGUGCGAAAGCGUGGGGAGCAAACAGG
rnacentral:rRNA from 1 species